rnacentral:rRNA from 1 species
ACAGGCUUAACACAUGCAAGUCGAGGGGCAGCAUGGUCUUAGCUUGCUAAGGCUGAUGGCGACCGGCGCACGGGUGAGUAACACGUAUCCAACCUGCCGUCUACUCUUGGCCAGCCUUCUGAAAGGAAGAUUAAUCCAGGAUGGCAUCAUGAGUUCACAUGUCCGCAUGAUUAAAGGUAUUUUCCGGUAGACGAUGGGGAUGCGUUCCAUUAGAUAGUAGGCGGGGUAACGGCCCACCUAGUCAACGAUGGAUAGGGGUUCUGAGAGGAAGGUCCCCCACAUUGGAACUGAGACACGGUCCAAACUCCUACGGGAGGCAGCAGUGAGGAAUAUUGGUCAAUGGGCGAUGGCCUGAACCAGCCAAGUAGCGUGAAGGAUGACUGCCCUAUGGGUUGUAAACUUCUUUUAUAAAGGAAUAAAGUCGGGUAUGCAUACCCGUUUGCAUGUACUUUAUGAAUAAGGAUCGGCUAACUCCGUGCCAGCAGCCGCGGUAAUACGGAGGAUCCGAGCGUUAUCCGGAUUUAUUGGGUUUAAAGGGAGCGUAGAUGGAUGUUUAAGUCAGUUGUGAAAGUUUGCGGCUCAACCGUAAAAUUGCAGUUGAUACUGGAUGUCUUGAGUGCAGUUGAGGCAGGCGGAAUUCGUGGUGUAGCGGUGAAAUGCUUAGAUAUCACGAAGAACUCCGAUUGCGAAGGCAGCCUGCUAAGCUGCAACUGACAUUGAGGCUCGAAAGUG